AGAGCGAACGCUGGCGGCAGGCCUAAUACAUGCAAGUCGAGCGGCCACUUCGGUGGCAGCGGCGGACGGGUGAGUAACGCGUGGGAAUGUGCCCUUUGGUACGGAACAACUGAGGGAAACUUCAGCUAAUACCGUAUGUGCCCUUCGGGGGAAAGAUUUAUUGCCAUUGGAGCAGCCCGCGUUGGAUUAGCUAGUUGGUGGGGUAAAGGCCCACCAAGGCGACGAUCCAUAGCUGGUCUGAGAGGAUGAUCAGCCACACUGGGACUGAGACACGGCCCAGACUCCUACGGGAGGCAGCAGUAGGGAAUUUGGACAAUGGGGGAAACCCUGAUCCAGCCAUCCCG
rnacentral:rRNA from 1 species